AUUGGAUUUAUGGUUGUGAUAAUGUUAAGGUUGUGGCUAUGCAGUACUACUCUAACAUUUAUAACACUACUCACACUGUCAUCAAUGAUGAUAUGAUGCACAAUUUUAGUCCAUGUGUCACACCAUAUAUGAAUAAUGAGUUGAUCAAGCCUAUCUCUAUGGCAGAGAUAAAAAAAAAAAGGCAAUUGUUUUCUACCAAUCCCUCUAAAGCUCCUAGGAUGAUAGUUUCACUGGCCUAUUCUAUCAACCUUCUUGGCACAUUCUAAAGGAAGAUUUUUAUAGCAACUGUAUUUGAAUUUUUCAAUACUAGUAAAAUGCUUAGGGAUUUUAAUCAUAAUUUGUUAUCUUUAAUCCCAAGGUUUAAAAUGUGCAGACUAUGAAGGAACUUCAUCUUAUUGGCUUAUUCUCAGUAUUUUAUAAGAUUAUUUCUAAGAUCUUGGUUCAUAAGUUGUAACCCUUCAUGGCCAUAUCUCACUUAUAUGAUUACUAAAUUGGGUUUUCAUUCGUGGUGUAUCUCAUGGAUCAUGGAGUGUGUUUCAUCAGUCUCUUACUCUGUUUAAUUAAAUGGACAUCAAAACAAAUUGAUUACUCCCACAAGAGGUGUUAGACAAGGUGGUCUCUUAUCUCGUUAUCUCUCUUUAUUCUGUGUAGAAGGUUUGUCUCUGUAAGACCCCUCAUCCGUCUACAGUGUAAUCGAGUAAAGUGUGCUACAUUCGGUGCCGG
rnacentral:misc_RNA from 1 species